rnacentral:misc_RNA from 1 species
CUGAACUGUCAACACGAGUUGUUGCUGGUCCUCAAAUGGGGGCAUGUGCACAUUCUGUUUACACACCCACUCACACCUGUGCACCCUCUGUAGUUCUGUGGUGUGGGGGACUCUGUCCUCCCACCGUGGUUCUGCGUCUUUACACACACACACAGUUAUAAAGUCUCAUGGAAUGUAUGUCGCGUUUAACGCAAUACAAUA